rnacentral:rRNA from 1 species
UACGUAGGGCGCAAGCGUUGUCCGGAAUUAUUGGGCGUAAAGGGCGCGUAGGCGGUCGUGCGCGUCGAGGGUGAAAUCCCCGGGCUUAACCCGGGAGCUGCCUUCGAUACGGCACGGCUUGAGUCCGGGAGAGGGGAGCAGAAUUCCCAGUGUAGCGGUGAAAUGCGUAGAUAUUGGGAGGAAUACCGGUGGCGAAGGCGGCUCCCUGGACCGGUACUGACGCUGAGGCGCGAAAGCGUGGGUAGCAAACAGG